CGGGAAAGGGGCUGGGCUGCGCCUCCGGCCUGGGGGCGGGGGUGCGGCCGCGGGGAAGGAAGUCGGCCGAGGGGCGGGGGACAAAAGGCCGGGCGGCGGGCUGGGGGUCUCAGGGAGGGGGCGGGCGUGUGCGGCUGGGGCCGGGCUACGCGGAGGACAAACAGCUGGCGAGUGUCAGGGUCUGGCCGCCUCCCCGCUGCCCACACGCACCUACCCGCGCCCGGGACGCGCAUUUUCCUUCUCUCGCCACGAGUUCACCUGGGACUUUGCAAAUAACUGUGCGGUGGGAGCUGCGCUCCAGCCUUGUCAUUUGCUGAGGGUGGGUGGCGGUGCCCAAGGAAGUGAACUUAUUUUGUUCCUUCACAAAGACUGGACCAGGCGGUGCCUUUCACGCGAAGAGGUUACGACCACGGACACAACCUCCUUUGAUGCAUUGUGCGACGCAGCACCUCGGGCCCCGGGCAGUAAUCAUUUCACAGAAAAUGCACCGCCCCGAGUGUCUUAUUGCUGUGAUGAAAUGGAAAUUUAAAUAAAAGGUCGAACACGUGCGUUCACUGGGAAGUAUUGACAUGGGUGUUACAUCACCAGCAGCCAAUCAGAUAACUCCAGUCGUGUUUAUACUUCUACAACCACCUUAUUACAUGUAAUUUUAAUGUAAAG
rnacentral:lncRNA from 1 species